rnacentral:rRNA from 1 species
AUACGUAGGGAGCAAGCGUUGUCCGGAUUUACUGGGUGUAAAGGGCGCGCAGGCAGCUUAGCAAGUCAGGCGUGAAAUAUAUGGGCUUAACCCAUAGACUGGGUUUGAAACUGUUGAGCUUGAGUGAAGUAGAGGUAGGCGGAAUUCCCGGUGUAGGGGUGAAAUGCGUAGAGAUCGGGAGGAACACCAGUGGCGAAGGCGGCCUACUGGGCUUUAACUGACGACGAGGCACGCAAGCAUGGGUAGCAAACAAGAUUAGAUACCCUGGUAGUCCAUGCCGUAAACGAUGAUUACUAGGUGUGGGGGGUCUGACCCCUUCCGUGCCGGAGUUAACACAAUAAGUAAUCCACCUGGGAAGUACGACCGCAAGGCUGA